GAGUUUGUUGGCUGUGCUGAGAAGAAGGAGUUAGUGCUGUGAGGAGCUGCCCCUGAGAAACCACUGAGAAGCCCACCUUAAUGAACAGCUCUGCCUCGCCUUUGACUCCUGUCCAGGAUGCCAGAUUCUGGAGGCUGCAGAGAGACAGAAAGUCUGCACAGUUUGCUGAGGACGAAAACCUUGAAUAAAGCCCUGAACCAGAGCAUUUUACAGCAGUGGUGCUCUGGGAAUGCUCCUGGCAUUCCCUGGUGUGAGCAAGCGAGGAUGGGAUGGCAAACCUCACGCACCUGCCAGGUGCUGGAUUCCCUUCCCACUGCUGAUCCUCCUCACACAGCUCCACUCCAGGCUGAAUAUCCCAGCAGAGCUUGUCAAGAGAGAAGGAAUUCAUAUGUUCCUGCUCCCUGCAGCUGGGCUGAGGGAAUUGUUCCGUGGUGACUGCUCUGCACAGCAGCGACCUGAACUUGGGUCACUCCAGAGUUACAGAGACAAAACAGAACUUGAAGUCACUGAUAAUGAGACUUUUGGACAACUUGAGUUGAAAAAUUGAUGCUUUGAAAGCUGUGAAAUGUCUGAGAAAGGCUGUCAACUUUUUUUUUUUUUUAAUGCUUAAUUAAAAACAAUCAUGCUUCUGGGAAGGGGCUCAUUUACCCUGGCUUCUUGUUGGUUCUCUCCAACCUGUCUUGCCUCUGGUGAUGGAAACUUGUCUCUGGUGGUGGAAACUCAUCCCAGAGCUGUUUUCCUGGACCUGGCUCAGCACAGCACUUACUCCUGGAAGUGCUGCCACACAUAACCAAAGCCUGUGGCUCCUGUAACUCACUUGGCACAAGCCAGCCUGGCAUUUUCCUCAGCAGGGCUUAUCCCAGACUGUUUUAAAAGCUGAAAGGUGAACAAAAAGGAGGAUUAGACCAAAGCAGUUGCAGAGCACACGUUGUACAUACUGAUGUCUUGUUGGAUCAGGAGCAGGCUGGAAGAAGCACUGCCCGUGUUUAAUGAGGGUGCAGUCUCGCUUCCUGAAUCCCUGCCUCCUUUGCCAAUCAGAUAUUCUGCAUCACUGAAGGAGCCAGGCUAAUGAGAUUAUGGGUUAUCACCUCCAGAAAUAAAACCCAACCAUUGGAAGAACAAGAUUUCUGUGGGAAUUGUGCUGAAGCCUGGGUUGGAUGGCUGGGCUCUCCUCCUGGGGCUGUUCAGGGGGAAGCUCUGAGCCCUGCAAGUGUUUCCACAUAGGUGACUCUGCAUCUCCAGGCUAAAAAAAACAAACUGGAGUCACUUUAUAUCCUGGGUUUUACCAAGGCUGAGCAAAGUCAGGCCAGUUUUACGUGUGGCACAUCACAGAUUUGUUCUGCUCCAGCUGCUUACGCUGUGCCUGCUGCACCACGGAAUAUCCUUGGGAUUUUCCACAGAUGCUGCUCCCUGAGUGCACAGCCAGAUGUGGGGCAGCAGGGACAGACUGCAGGCAGAGGAGGAAAACCUCCACAGCGGUGAUCUUCAGGAAGGAAACCUGUCCAGGUUCUUCAUCCUGGCUGAGGCCGUGCACAUCUGUAGGAACAGCUGCAGCAUCCACUCCU